CCGAGUUCUCGCCCCCUCGCGGGGUAGACCUCCCACCCAUUGUCAUCACUACCGUCGUUGCUUUGGCGGGCCGCCGGGCCCCGUCCGGCCGCCGGCUCUCUAGCCGGCGCGCGCCCGCCAGGGGCUCCGCAAACUCUUGAUGUUAAGUGCCGUCUGAGUACCAUAUAAUAGUGA
rnacentral:misc_RNA from 1 species